CCUACGGGAGGCAGCAGUGGGGAAUAUUGCACAAUGGGGGAAACCCUGAUGCAGCGACGCCGCGUGAGUGAAGAAGUACUUCGUUAUGUUAAGCCCUAUCAGCAGGGAAGCAAAUGACGGUACCUGAGUAAGAAGCCCCGGCUAACUACGUGCCAGCAGCCGCGGGAAUACGGAGGGGGCAAGCGUGAUCCGGAUGUACUGGGUGUAAAGGGAGCGUAGACGGCGGUGCAAGUCUGGAGUGAAAGGCGGGGGCUCAACCCCCGGACUGCUCUGGAAACUGUACGGCUUGAGUGCAGGAGAGGUAAGUGGAAUUCCUGGUGUAGCGGUGAAAUGCGUAGAUAUUAGGAGGAACACCAGUGGCGAAGGCGGCUUACUGGACUGUAACUGACGUUGAGGCUCGAAAGCGUGGGGAGCGAACAGGAUUAGAUACCCCUGUAGUC
rnacentral:rRNA from 1 species